rnacentral:lncRNA from 10 species
CACUGCAACCUCCGCCUCCCAGGGGAUAUACAGGGGGAUGGAUUUUCAAAUUGGAUUGAUUCUAAGUUGAAAUCUUGAAGAGAAGGUGUGGUGACAGUGGUUAGGAUGUUGUGGGUUCCUGACAUAAAGUAGUUAAAUGAUAUAUCUUGGAGCUAACCUGUGUAAGUAAAGAACUAAGUAAGGAGAUGACUAAAAAUGGAGUAGUUUCCUUUUUUAUUUUUUUGAGACAGAGUCUCACUUUGUUUCCCAGGCUGGUGUGCAGUGGCACAAUCUCGGCCCACUGCAGCCUCCGCCUCCCGGGUUCAAGUGAUUCUCCUGCCUUAGCCUCCUGAGUGGCUGGGAUUACAGGGUUGUACCACCACACUCGGCUAACUUUUGUAUUUUUGGUAGAGAUGGGGUUUUGCCAUGUUGGCUAGGCUGGUCUCAAACUCCUGGCCUCAAGUGAUCUGCCCGCCUUGGCCUCCCAAAUUGCUGGGAUUACAGGCGUGAGCCACCGCACCUGGCCAGUUUACUUUAAAUGUGGUGUAGUCUCAUGGUAAACUGAAUUUGUCAUCAGAUGCAAAGUUCUAUUCCCUAAUGGAAUGGAAGGAACACAAAACUUAAGAGUGAAAUGGAAUACUAAGAUGUUUUUAAAUAGGCAGGACUAUGCUACUCACUUGAGGCUGGAGUGCCACCACUGCAAAAUCUUUUUAAGUUUUGUAAAAAGGAGCAUCUUGAAUCCACUUAGAUAAAGACAGACUGUGUGUGUAGGUGGAUUUUUCCCAAAGGAUUUGGGAAUUGUAAUGUUACAAUGAACUGUAUGGAUAUGUUUGUCAUGUACAUUUUCAAACAAAAAGGAAAACUGAAAGUAGUGAUCUUUGUAUACCCAUCUCUUAGAUUCAGUGAUUUUGCUAUAUAGGUUGUGUAUCCCUUAUCUGAAAUACUUGGGACUAGUAGAAGCAUCUUGGAUUUGGGAUGUUUUUCCAAAUUUUGGAAUACCUGCAUACACACAAUAAGAUAUCUUGGAGAUGGGACCCAAGUUUAAACACAAAUUCACUUGUUUCAUAUAUACCUUAUGCACAUAGCUUGAAGGUAACUUUAUAUAACAUUAUUUUUAAUAAUUUUGUGCAUUGAGACCAAGUUUGCAUACCUUGAACCAUCAGAAAGCAAAGGUGUCAUUAUCUCAGCCACUCAUGUGGGUAAUUUGUGGUUGGUUGAUGUCACCAUCAUUCCUGACUGAAUGUAUAUGCUACCAAUAAGCAGUUAUUUUCUUAUACUUAUUCAUGCAUAAGUACUUAACAGUAAAAAAUAUGACAUAACUCGCACAGGAACAAGGAUGGCAAAAAAAAAAAUAUGACACACCACUGAUACAGUGAAAAAAUAAUGUGGUCAGGGUAGCUAGGCAACAGUAGCAUCACCAGAAACCUGUAUCAGCUGUUAAACGGCAACAACAAUGGCAGGCUUUCAGUUUCCCACUUAAUGAUGCUGUAUUUUAAAAGGUUAUUGUAUACUGUAAUUUUAUUUUUGUAGGUGAAGAGAAACAGAAGCAGCUGAAGGGCCAGGAAGUGGGUCUUUCUAGGGAUGUGGCAUUCUGCUGGAUGGCUUUUUAAAAUGGGUUUUUUCCUUUAGGGAGACCGAAUAAACUGUGUUGUGCACCUGC